rnacentral:rRNA from 1 species
CACGGCGGGGAUGCCUGAGCAAGUGCGAGUGUAGCGGCAAAAGCUCAAAUUUGAAAUCUGGCACCUUCGGUGUCCGAGUUGUAAUUUGAAGAAGGUAACUUUGGAGUUGGCUCUUGUCUAUGUUCCUUGGAACAGGACGUCACAGAGGGUGAGAAUCCCGUGC